rnacentral:rRNA from 1 species
CUACGGGAGGCAGCAGUGGGGAAUAUUGGACAAUGGAGGAAACUCUGAUCCAGCAAUGCCGCGUGUGUGAUGAAGGCCCUAGGGUUGUAAAGCACUUUCAUUGGUGAAGAUGAUGACGGUAACCAAAGAAGAAGCCCCGGCUAACUUCGUGCCAGCAGCCGCGGUAAUACGAAGGGGGCGAGCGUUGUUCGGAAUUACUGGGCGUAAAGGGAGCGCAGGCGGUUCAUUUAGUUAGGCGUGAAAGCCCCGGGCUCAACCUGGGAACUGCGCUUAAUACUGAUGAGCUAGAAAACAGAAGAGGAUAGUGGAAUUCCCAGUGUAGAGGUGAAAUUCGUAGAUAUUGGGAGGAACACCGGUGGCGAAAGCGGCUAUCUGGUCUGAUUUUGACGCUGAGGCUCGAAAGCGUGGGGAGCAAACAGGAUUAGAUACCCUGGUAGUCCACGCCGUAAACGAUGAUAACUAGAUGUCGGGGGGUCGCCUCUCGGUGUCGCAGCUAACGCAUUAAGUUAUCCGCCUGGGAAGUACGGUCGCAAGAUUAAAACUCAAAGGAAUUGACGG